rnacentral:lncRNA from 1 species
CUCUCGAGGCCCACUGUGCCAGAUGGGGCCUCUCAAGGUGGCCAGGAGCAGGGAAAGAUAAAGUCCACGUGGGCACUCUCUAGGAAUUCCUGGGGAAAGCAGAAAGCUGAGAGACAAGGGAGAGGCUGCACCCACGAAGCAGACACUCCUUGCCUGCUUGCAAAGACCGCCUGGUGGCUCCGGCCCCAAGCCUCAAGGCCAGCUGAACUCUGUGCUCAGCUUAACCCCCCAGAGACCGCAGACAUGGUGCCCGUCACCCUCAGGUGAACUCCAGCCAAGAGACACGACCACAGGGAUUCUGCCCACCGCAUGCCCUCUGCUGCCUCAGCCCUGUCCUGGCCCCACUCCGCUGGACACUGGGAGGCUAUUUAGGAAGAUAAGUUUUCCUGAUUGAAGCAGAGGAAAGCAGCAUGAAAGAAAACAGUGGACCCCAAGGAGGAAUUUGUGUUUGACAAAAAUGGACACAUUCUCCUAGGAGCAUCAUGUAUCAUCAAAGGAGCAAAGCCCCGGGUCAUUUGUUUCUCUCCUAUUUACAUGCUAGGCAAAGAAGAUGUGUUUGAGCUUUCUACAGUUGCUGUACCCUGGAAAUUGAUGCCCGGGAAAGGAAGCCGUAUGUUCUGGACGUAGCACGUUUCUUUUGGAAUUCACGCAUUGUGGGUCUGUCACUUUCCCCUAAAUGGUACUUUUG